GUUAUUUUCUAGAAUUCUAAAUUGACUUGUAUACUCUCAUUUAAAUUUGUGAAAUAUGAAGAACAAUUGUGUUGUAGGCAUGUUAUAUAAAUAUCUUUUAAAAUGUUUUUUAAUUUUAUUUUAGCUUGAAUGAAGAAAUGCCCACUUGCCUACCAUCAUUUUCUUUAUCUCAGAACCCUGGGCAACAGUCUGUAAAAGAAGAGAAUUUAAAAAACAGGUCAAUGAAGAGUAACCAGACAGGCAGCAUGUUAUCACUUCAGGAGAAAACAAAACGUUUUAGUUUUAGAAGUCCUCUCACUGGAGCACCACCAGAAUAUUUACAGAGACUUUCUGAGCUGGCCAUAUUAGAAUAUGAUACUAUUCGUCAGGAAACAAGCAAAAAAUUUAAAAAAGUCAAGAAACGAGAGUGUCCAGACUGCUGACAAAUACUGUUUGGGGUGAUAUUGUUUUCUUCACUGGUAUCUGAUGUAGGUGUGUGUUGUUGGUUGGUUUUGGGGUUUUUUGUUUUUUGCAGCCAUGUAUAAUAUGAUGUUCAAUGAUUUACCUAAAAGUGGAAGUGUAAAUAGCCAAUAAAUAUUUUAUAUGUUUAUAUACUGAACA
rnacentral:lncRNA from 1 species